AGAUUGAACGCUGGCGGCAGGCCUAACACAUGCAAGUCGAGCGGUAGAGAGGUGCUUGCAUCUCUUGAGAGCGGCGGACGGGUGAGUAAUGCCUAGGAAUCUGCCUAGUGGUGGGGGAUAACGUUCGGAAACGGACGCUAAUACCGCAUACGUCCUACGGGAGAAAGCGGGGGACCUUCGGGCCUCGCGCCAUUAGAUGAGCCUAGGUCGGAUUAGCUAGUUGGUGAGGUAAUGGCUCACCGAAGGCGACGAUCCGUAACUGGUCUGAGAGGAUGAUCAGUCACACUGGAACUGAGA
rnacentral:rRNA from 1 species